rnacentral:rRNA from 1 species
AGCGAACGCUGGCGGCAGGCCUAACACAUGCAAGUCGAACGAAGUCUUCGGACUUAGUGGCGGACGGGUGAGUAACACGUGGGAACGUGCCUUUAGGUUCGGAAUAACUCAGGGAAACUUGUGCUAAUACCGAAUGGGCCCUUCGGGGGAAAGCUUUAUCGCCUUUAGAGCGGCCCGCGUCUGAUUAGCUAGUUGGUGAGGUAAAGGCUCACCAAGGCUACGAUCAGUAGCUGGUCUGAGAGGAUGACCAGCCACAUUGGGACUGAGACACGGCCCAAACUCCUACGGGAGGCAGCAGUGGGGAAUCUUGCGCAAUGGGCGAAAGCCUGACGCAGCCAUGCCGCGUGGAUGAUGAAGGUCUUAGGAUUGUAAAAUCCUUUCACCGGUGAAGAUAAUGACUGUAGCCGGAGAAGAAGCCCCGGCUAACUUCGUGCCAGCAGCCGCCGUAAAAC